GACGAACGCUGGCGGCGUGCUUAACACAUGCAAGUCGAACGAUGACGACCGAGCUUGCUCGGUCUGAUUAGUGGCGAACGGGUGAGUAACACGUGAGCAACCUGCCCUUCACUCUGGAUAACCCCGGGAAAUCGGGGGUAAUAACGGAUAUGAGCCCCUGUCCCCUGGCGGGGGUUGGAAAGUUUUUCGGUUAAGGAUGGGCUCGCGGCCUAUCAGUUUGUUGGUGAGGUGGUGGCUCACCAAGGCGAUGACGGGUAGCCGGCCUGAGAGGGCGACCGGCCACACUGGGACUGAGACACGGCCCAGACUCCUACGGGGGGCAGAAGUGGGGAAUAUUGCACAAUGGGCGAAAGCCUGAUGCAGCGACGCCGCGUGAGGGAUGACGGCCUUCGGGUUGUAAACCUCUUUCAGCAGGGAAGAAGCGAAAGUGACGGUACCUGCAGAAGAAGCGCCGGCUAACUACGUG
rnacentral:rRNA from 1 species